GGGGGAGGAGACAGGGAUACUGGAGUGAUGGAGGUAGAUAUGUAUAGGGGUAAGGAGACAGGGAUACUGGAGUGAUGGAGGUAGAUAUGUAUAGGGGGAGGAGACAGGGAUACUGGAGUGAUGGAGGUAGAUAUGUAUAGGGGGAGGAGACAGGGAUACUGGAGUGAUGGAGGUAGAUAUGUAUAGGGGUAAGGUGACAGGGAUAUUGGAGUGAUGGAGGUAGAUAUGUAUAGGGGGGAGGAGACAGGGAUACUGGAGUGAUGGAGGUAGAUAUGUAUAGGGGGGAGGAGAGGGAUACUAGAGUGAUGGAGGUAGAUAUGUAUAGGGGGGAGGAGACAGGG
ensembl:lncRNA